AGCAGUUGGAAGUUUGAAUUACUAGUAUUUAAACAGUCUGAAUUACUAGUAUUUAAACAUUAUUUGCACUGCUGCUUGCAAGUGUAAUUUAAAAAAUAUUUUUGGAUUACUGUUUUCUCUUGAACUGUAUAUCAGUGAAUGCUAACGUUAAUCUGACCUGGUCUAUACCUACACCUUGUUUAUCCCACUUGCAUUUCAUAAUUAAUAGCCUACUAUCUAGGUUAACUAUUGAAGUUUAUUCAGAUAGGAAGCCAAGUUGAUUAAGAUAUGUUUGCUGCUGAGCCCCAAAAAACAGAGUGGUUAUAUUGGUUAUCUUAGGUCAACCAAAGUGUGUUUCUAAGCUGUAGCUAGGUUGCUGCAAAUAUACUUUAGUUUGUUGCCAAUCUGUACUAAAACCAGGGACAUAAUAGGUGAUUUAUUACAUGAUGUUUUCAGGUACUUCAUUGGGAUUAACCCUGAGAGAGGAACACAGCCCAGCUGGGUUAGCUGUGACCUUGUGGCCUGGAUGCCGACCUUCUGCCAAUUUAAACAGAGGACAUUUGAAGGUAUUAUAAUUGUGUAUCCUGCAAUCUGUUUAUUUGUACUUUAUUUGUACUAACAGUUGCUGUUUAGACUCAAGCCUAAGUUUUGCUGACAGCUCAGGAUAUAAUAAUUAACAGAUUCUGCAGAUUAUAAUUAACAAGUUCCAUGCCCUUUGAAAGGGUUGUUUUUUUCAAACACACAUACUUGAAUAUACUUCACACAUUUGAAAGCCUUUGAAUAAAUGUUCAGUUCCAUAAAGCUGUCA